rnacentral:rRNA from 1 species
GGACUACAGGGGUAUCUAAUCCUGUUUGCUCCCCACGCUUUCGCGCCUGAGCGUCAGCCGUCGGCCAGGGCACUGCCUUCGCCAUUGGUGUUCCUCCGGAUCUCUACGCAUUUCACCGCUCCACCCGGAAUUCCAUGCCCCUCUCCGACGCUCAAGCCCACCCGUCUUGGGGAACCUCGGCCAGUUAAGCUGGCCGCUUUCACCCCCAACGCGGCAGGCCGCCUGCGCGCCCUUUACGCCCAGUAACUCCGGACAACGCUCGCCUCCUACGUAUUACCGCGGCUGCUGGCAC